rnacentral:rRNA from 1 species
AUUGAACGCUGGCGGCAUGCCUUACACAUGCAAGUCGAACGGUAACAGGUCUUCGGAUGCUGACGAGUGGCGAACGGGGGCGUAAUACAUCGGAACGUGCCCGAUCGUGGGGGAUAACGGAGCGAAAGCUUUGCUAAUACCGCAUACGAUCUACGGAUGAAAGCAAGGGACCGCAAGGCCUUGCGCGGACGGAGCGGCCGAUGGCAGAUUAGGUAGUUGGUGGUGUAAAAGCUUACCAACCCGACGAUCUGUAGCUGGUCUGAGAGGACGACCAGCCACACUGGGACUGAGACACGGCCCAGACUCCUACGGGAGGCAGCAGUGGGGAAUUUUGGACAAUGGGCGAAAGCCUGAUCCAGCCAUGCCGCGUGCAGGAUGAAGGCCUUCGGGUUGUAAACUGCUUUUGUACGGAACGAAAAGACUCUUUCUAAUAAAGAGGGUCCAUGACGGUACCGUAAGAAUAAGCACCGGCUAACUACGUG